rnacentral:misc_RNA from 1 species
UCUUCAUGAAUCUCACUAAAUAUUGUAGGAAAGCUAUGAUUGAUUUUCUAUUCGGGGAUUCAUUAUUAAGUAUUAUGACCCUAUUUAGGUGACAGAAUUGUUGAACUUUUAUCUAGUGAAUAUUUCCUUGACAUGGAAAUUAUGGCGAAUAAAUUUUUCAGGGGUUUGUGAGACUACUCAGACCUAACCCCCAACAACAAAUAUACAUGGAAGAAAUAUUGAAG